AACGAACGCUGGCGGCAUGCCUAACACAUGCAAGUCGAACGAUUGCCUUCGGGUGAUAGUGGCGCACGGGUGCGUAACGCGUGGGAAUCUGCCCUUAGGUUCGGAAUAACAGCUGGAAACGGCUGCUAAUACCGGAUGAUAUCGCGAGAUCAAAGAUUUAUCGCCUGAGGAUGAGCCCGCGUUGGAUUAGGUAGUUGGUGGGGUAAAGGCCUACCAAGCCGACGAUCCAUAGCUGGUCUGAGAGGAUGAUCAGCCACACUGGGACUGAGACACGGCCCAGACUCCUACGGGAGGCAGCAGUGGGGAAUAUUGGACAAUGGGCGCAAGCCUGAUCCAGCAAUGCCGCGUGAGUGAUGAAGGCCCUAGGGUUGUAAAGCUCUUUUACCCGGGAAGAUAAUGACUGUACCGGGAGAAUAAGCCCGGGCUAGCUCCGUG
rnacentral:rRNA from 1 species